rnacentral:rRNA from 1 species
GACGAACGCUGGCGGCGUGCUUAACACAUGCAAGUCGAGCGGUAAGGCCCUUUCGGGGGUACGACGAGCGGCGAACGGGUGAGUAACACGUGGGUGACCUGCCCUCAGCUCUGGGAUAAGCCUGGGAAACCGGGUCUAAUACUGGAUAUGGCUCCAUGACGCAUGUUGUGGGGUGGAAAGCCUUGUGCGGCUGAGGAUGGGCCCGCGGCCUAUCAGCUUGUUGGUGGGGUGAGGCCUACCAAGGCGACGACGGGUAGCCGGCCUGAGAGGGCGACCGGCCACACUGGGACUGAGACACGGCCCAGACUCCUACGGGAGGCAGCAGGUGGGGAAUCUUGCGCAAGUGGGCGAAAGCCUGACGCAGCGACGCCGCGUGAGGGAUGACGGCCU